UCAGGGGUUUCCACGGGCUCCAUCCUGACUCAGAGAGAACCAACAUGGCGUGUGGGCUGAGCUGGCUUCUCCUGAUGGCUGUGUUAGGAGGGGUCCAGUGUGAGGUGCAGCUGGUGGAGUCUGGGGGAGGCUUGGUGAAGCCCAAGGGGAACCUGAGACUCUCCUGUGUAGCCUCUGGAUUCAAUUUUGGCAGCUAUACAAUGCACUGGGUCCGCCAGGCUCCAGGGAAGGGCCUAGAGUGGGUCUCAAGCAUCAGUAGUGGUGGUAGUACAUACUAUGCCGACUCUGUGAAGGGCCGUUUCACCAUCUCCAGAGACAACAGCAUCAACACACUUUCUCUGCAAAUGAGCAGCCUGAGGGAUCAGGACACGGCCCUGUAUUACUGUGUGAAAGACACAGUGAGGGGAAUGCACUGUAGACCCAGACACAAACCACCUGCAGGAGGAAGCAGGCAGAAUUUUGUAGACACUGCUGAGUAUGUAGAUGACUUGUGA